UCCUGAGGUAACUCAGUUGGGUAGAGCGUGGUGCUGAUAAAGGUCACAGGUUCAAUCCCUGUAUGGGAA